rnacentral:rRNA from 1 species
UACGUAGGUGGCUAGCGUUGUCCGGAUUUACUGGGCGUAAAGAGCGCGCAGGCGGUCGUUCAAGUCGAGUGUGAAAGCCCCCGGCUCAACUGGGGAGGGUCACUCGAUACUGAUCGACUCGAAGGCAGGAGAGGGAAGCGGAAUUCCCGGUGUAGCGGUGAAAUGCGCAGAUAUCGGGAGGAACACCGGUGGCGAAGGCGGUUCUCUGGGACGGUACUGACGCUGAGACGCGAAAGCGUGGGGAGCGAACAGG